rnacentral:rRNA from 1 species
UACGUAGGGUGCGAGCGUUGUCCGGAAUUAUUGGGCGUAAAGAGCUUGUAGGCGGUUUGUCGCGUCUGCUGUGAAAUUUCGGGGCUCAACCCCGAACUUGCAGUGGGUACGGGCAGACUAGAGUGUGGUAGGGGAGACUGGAAUUCCUGGUGUAGCGGUGAAAUGCGCAGAUAUCAGGAGGAACACCGAUGGCGAAGGCAGCUCGCUGGGACGGUACUGACGCUGAGGCGCGAAAGCGUGGGGAGCAAACAGG